CUGCGUUAUGCUACGGUCUGAGUAACGUUGUCAACAUAAAGUGGUUUCUAAGUUAGUUCACGUUAUAUUUCUGAUAAAAGUAAACAUGUAAUUUAUCAAACCGAGGAACUGUUGAAUUAAAAUGAAGGCUAAGCUGUGUUAGCGGGUCAGGAGAGAAGAAGCAUCCCUUAAAGGAAGACAAUUCGUGCCACGCCACCUAGCUAGCUUACAGGUCAGCUCGGUCAGCUCAACAGAUGACGCAGCGGGGCGGUAUCAGGAAACAACUUAAAUGGAGCAGACUGUCAGCGAAUCAACACGAGUUACGAAGUUGCCCGGGCAAUGAUACAGUGCUCAACAAAGGGCGAGACUGGACUUUUUGGCAGAUCAUACAAUUGUGAAAAACUACGUCUACGUGUCGUAACAAGGGGAUGCUGCUGUGUGGGUUUAAUUGAGAGGCUACGCGGCAUUUCUCAUGCAGAUAUGAAACAGUCUCUCAGAUUCCUCUGGAUCCACCCCCCUCCUGGAUCCCAGAUUCUCUCCAUCAUCUCCUCCAACCGUGAGGUCUAACCAGCAGGGCAGGGGCGUGUGGGCGGACAUGCUGGGUGCUGGCAGCAUGCUCCGUCUGCUUGCGAGUAAUGUGAGUACAGAGACGACCCCCUCCACCCCCCCUCCACCCCAAACACACACUUGCAUCACACUCCUUGAAAGAGAUGGGCCAUAGAUGGAGAGGCAGGCGCUCCUGCUGUGACUUGGCGCACCCCACUGGACAGCUGGAGACUUGGGGAGAGGAGACACUUGCCAAACAUGCCUGACGGAGCAGGGGAGUGCUGGAGGUGAGAGGCUGGGCGAGGCCUGAGGUGGCUCCCAUACCUGCAGCUGAUCACCGGCCCAUCAUCUGUAAUUAUCUACACUUCUAUACCAGUGAGAUAAAAAGAGGGGUGGUGCACACACACACGACAACACACAUACACAUUUACACUCAUAUUAAUGAGCCACUUACCAAGCAGUGGAAACGGGCAAGUUUAGAUUGAAUGCACCUAAUUGUGUUCUUCUGAUGGGGCAGUUGUAUCUGCUCUAAUUGCUUUGAUUGAUAUUGUUGUACAGCAGUAAUAGGUUUAAUGUGCUCCUGCAUUGUUUCGCUAAUUCCAAUUAUAUCGUGUAACAACAACAAUUUACUCAAACUGUGAACAAUAGUUAUUAGUGAAGCCCAUGCAGCAAUCUCUCUC